rnacentral:rRNA from 1 species
UGGAGAAUAUUGGGCAAUGGGCGAAAGCCUGACCCAGCAACGCCGCGUGAGGGAAGAAGGUUUUCGGAUCGUAAACUCCUGUCCUUGGAGACGAGUAGAAGACGGUAUCCAAGGAGGAAGCCCCGGCUAACUACGUGCCAGCAGCCGCGGUAAUACGUAGGGGCAAGCGUUGUCCGGAAUAAUUGGGCGUAAAGGGCGCGUAGGCGGCUCGGUAAGUCUGGAGUGAAAGUCCUGCUUUUAAGGUGGGAAUUGCUUUGGAUACUGUCGGGCUUGAGUGCAGGAGAGGUUAGUGGAAUUCCCAGUGUAGCGGUGAAAUGCGUAGAGAUUGGGAGGAACACCAGUGGCGAAGGCGACUAACUGGACUGUAACUGACGCUGAGGCGCGAAAGUGUGGGGAGCAAACAGGAUUAGAUACCCUGGUAGU